rnacentral:rRNA from 1 species
AUUGAACGCUGGCGGCAGGCCUAACACAUGCAAGUCGAACGAGAGGCGGACGGGUGAGUAAUGUCUGGGAAACUGCCCGAUGGAGGGGGUUAAGUACGGGAAAAGGUAGCUAAUACCGCAUACCAUCGGAUGUGCCCAGAUGGGAUUAGCUCGUAGGUGGGGUAAUGGCUCACCUAGGCGACGCACCCUAGCUGGUCUGAGAGGAGGACCAGCCACACUGGAACUGAGACACGGUCCAGACUCCUACGGGAGGCAGCAGUGGGGAAUAUUGCACAAUGGGCGCAAGCCUGAUGCAGCCAUGCCGCGUGUAUGAAGAAGGCCUUCGGGUUGUAAAGUACUUUCAGCGAGGAGGCGUUACUCGCAGAAGAAGCACCGGCUAACUCCGGGCCAGCAGCCGCGGUAAUAC